rnacentral:rRNA from 1 species
UGGGGAAUAUUGCACAAUGGGCGCAAGCCUGAUGCAGCAACGCCGCGUGAGGGAUGACGGCCUUCGGGUUGUAAAACCUCUUUUAGUAGGGAAGAAGCGAAAGUGACGGUACCUGCAGAAAAAGCACCGGCUAACUACGUGCCAGCAGCCGCGGUAAUACGUAGGGUGCGAGCGUUGUCCGGAAUUAUUGGGCGUAAAGAGCUCGUAGGCGGUCUGUCGCGUCUGCUGUGAAAACCCGAGGCUCAACCUCGGGCCUGCAGUGGGUACGGGCAGACUAGAGUGCGGUAGGGGAGAAUGGAAUUCCUGGUGUAGCGGUGGAAUGCGCAGAUAUCAGGAGGAACACCGAUGGCGAAGGCAGUUCUCUGGGCCGUAACUGACGCUGAGGAGCGAAAAGCGUGGGGAUGCGAACAGGAUUAGAUACCCUGGUAGUCCACGCCGUAAACGUUGGGCGCUAGAUGUGGGGACCAUUCCACGGUUUCCGUGUCGCAGCUAACGCAUUAAGCGCCCCGCCU